AAUAAAUGUACAUUAUAAAGAAAACUUUCGUUCAGUAAACAUAUUUGUCUUCUAAAUUUAGUCGAAGUAAAUUUUCUUGUGGGAAAUGUGAAUAUUAAAUUGUUGUGUUAAUCCUAAUUUCAAUGAUGGCUAAAAUAAUCUUAAAUAAUUUCAUAUAUGGCUUGCUUGCACUCCGCGGACUUAAAGACACAAAAACCACCAAAAGGACAAUUUACAUUGUUUUUGAACAUUUUUUGUACUCAGUCUCAUCACAAAUAUUAAAAUAACACUGAACUAUUUUAGUACUCAAGAACCAGGUUUAGCCAUGCGUUGGAAUUAGGAUAUCGCCAAAUUGUUUCUUAUCUGGCAUAGAUACAUAACUACUUGGCGGCUAUGGAUACAUAAAUAUUAUGAGUAACCCGGUCGCUCGUACCUCGAGGAAGUUCAACGAUUACAUCACAACGUGAAUAAAAUUGUAAUAGUACACUACAGCUAAAUGUCAACAUGUUCCCAGUUAUUUAAUACUAAUUAAAAAUAAUUAAAAAUGUGUUCAAAAUGUA